GAAAGAAAGAAAAGAAGAAAGAAAGAAAGAAAGGAAGGAAGGAAGAAAGGAAGGAAGAAAAGUGCCCCCCUUAUAGUCAUAUAACCAAAAACAAGUCCAGAUUUAAAUUCUCUACUUGAUGUUCCCUGUGUCUUCCAUCUGUAUAAGAAUCCUAAGGCUGGAAGGAAUGCCAGCUAUCAAGUAGACUAAUAUGGUUUGAUCAAGCAAGACCCCCGGAAGCAGUGACCCAACUGAUCCUACAUUCAAAACAGCUGGGACGAUACAGCCUUACAGACUACAAAAACAAGGACUUGAUUUAGUUUGUUGAGACAAGGUCCCAUGUGUUCCAGUCUGGCUCUGAACUUGCUACUUGACUGAGGCUGGCACUGAACUCCUGAUCUUCCUAAUCCAGUCUUUCAGGUAAUGAUGCUGCCACUCCCUUCUGAGGAACUCAGAAACAAUGGAAUUAUUGUGGCUCUUUCCUACUACCACCAUGCCUCAGAUGAAUAAAUCCAUGGCAGAGUCUGGGUGAGGAUUACAAAAUGAAUCCCAGUUUCCACAAAGGCCAUGUGAUCAUGAGAAAAUGCUGAAAGAGAAACUUUUGGUCCUGGGCUCACUGACUUAUUGGAGUUCAGAGAGGCCUGUAGCUGUGAGGUGAUGUGUGACUCCAUCCAGAUACCACAGUGGCUCAACAAAUGAACUAUGUCAGUGUGAAAUGUCUUUGUAAUGUCUGCAGAUACUUCUGUUGGGGAGACCCAGUCAUGGGCUUUUAAAAUUACUACACAUUUGAAACAAUAGCAUGGAAUACUUACAACAUUCAUUUAGUUUCCUAAGUGCAUAAAAGUUUAAACAUUUUAAAUUAGAAUUUAAAGAUAAUGUUAUGAACACGUGUCCCUUCAUGAACAUAUAAGUGAAUCUGUCUGUCUUGUAGUUGUGUGUCAUACUGGACAGGGACUGACUGAAUAUUUCAGAACAACUUCUUCUGACAAAGAAGGCAUAAAACUAACUUGUCAUUAAAGAUGCUUGUGUUGCCAGUUUCUAUAUAAAGAAAAGCUCACUGCAUCUGUUACUGUGAGUAAAGAAGCAAACGAAUACCAGAAGGGAAAAGUUAAGCAUUCAGCAAAUCAAUGACAUUCAUUGCUGUUUUUCCCACAAAAUGCAAGUCUGGUGAUAGUUUUUACAUAUUUAUACAUUAUGAAAUUUAAAAAUUCUAAUUACCAAUUUUUAAAACCCUAUGGGAUUGAUACAUGAUGAAUUCUAGUGUGUUUUGUUUAUGAUCUGUCUUUUGAUUUUAACAAUUAUCUUACUGGGUAGCUCCGUGUGUGGUAUGUGUGUGAACACAUGUGGGUGUGGAUGCAUUGUGUUUAUGAACUAUUUUUAAACAACAGCUUUAGGUUCACACCCCAGUUAAGAAGCACAUACAAAGAGCAUCCAUAUACCCCUGCUUUCACACGUAUACAGUCUCCUCUACUACCAACCUAACACCAGUGAUGUUUUUGAUAGAGUGAUACCACAUGCCACCUGCAGCCCACAGUUUAUAUUGGGAUUUACUCUUACUGGUCUACAUCCUAUGGGUUGCAACUCCUGGGGCAUGGCAUUUGUCCACUGUUGUACAGGUGACAUACUUUCACAGCAAUAAAAACCCUCUGCUCAUGCGGUUCACCUUUAUAUCCCAAAUGGCCUCUGCCAACCACUGAUCUUCAUACUGUCUCCAUAGAUUUUCCUUUUCCAGAAUGCUAUGUAGUUGGAGUCAUAUAGUACAGAGCUUUUGCAAAUUGCCUUCUUUCAUGUAGCAAGAUGCACUUAAGUGUCUUCUUGUAUUUUGUGGUUUAAAAAUGUACUUCAUUUUAGUGCUGAUAAAUAUUCCAUUGUCAG
ensembl:lncRNA